rnacentral:rRNA from 1 species
CCUACGGGAGGCAGCAGUGAGGAAUAUUGGUCAAUGGACGAGAGUCUGAACCAGCCAAGUCGCGUGAAGGAUGACUGCCCUAUGGGUUGUAAACUUCUUUUAUAUGGGAAUAAAACGUUCCACGUGUGGGAUUUUGUAUGUACCAUAUGAAUAAGGAUCGGCUAACUCCGUGCCAGCAGCCGCGGUAAUACGGAGGAUCCGAGCGUUAUCCGGAUUUAUUGGGUUUAAAGGGAGCGUAGGUGGAUUGUUAAGUCAGUUGUGAAAGUUUGCGGCUCAACCGUAAAAUUGCAGUUGAAACUGGCAGUCUUGAGGACAGUAGAGGUGGGCGGAAUUCGUGGUGUAGCGGUGAAAUGCUUAGAUAUCACGAAGAACUCCGAUUGCGAAGGCAGUUCACUGGACUGCAACUGACACUGAGGCUCGAAAGUGUGGGUAUCAAACAGGAUUAGAUACCCCUGUAGUC